rnacentral:rRNA from 1 species
CGAAAACUUUACAAUGCGGGAAACCGCGAUAAGGGGACAUUGAGUGCCACCCCCAUGGGUGGGCUGUCCGCACGUAUAAAUAACAUGUGUUAGCAANNGCCGGGCAAGACCGGUGCCAGCCGCCGCGGUAACACCGGCGGCUCGAGUGGUGGCCGAUAUUAUUGGGUCUAAAGGGUCCGUAGCCGGUUUGAUCAGUCUUCCGGGAAAUCCGACAGCUUAACUGUUAGGCUUCCGGGGGAUACNGUCAGACUUGGGACCGGGAGAGGUAAGAGGUACUCCAGGGGUAGGAGUGAAAUCCUGUAAUCCUUGGGGGACCACCAGUGGCGAAGNCGUCAAACCAGAACGGGUUCGACGGUGAGGGACGAAAGCUAGGGGCACGAACCGGAUUAGAUACCCGGGUAGUCCCAGCCGUAAACGAUGCUCGCAUGGUGUCUCC